rnacentral:tRNA from 1 species
GGAUGUGGCUUAGUGGUAGAGUGCUUGCCUUCCAUGCAUGAAGCCCUGGGUUUGAUUCCUCAGCACCA